rnacentral:rRNA from 1 species
CUGCAACUCGCCUGCAUGAAGUUGGAAUUGCUAGUAAUCGCGAAUCAGAAUGUCGCGGUGAAUACGUUCCCGGGCCUUGUACACACCGCCCGUCACACCAUGAGAGUCGAUAACACCCGAAGCCUGUGAGCUAACCGCAAGGGGGCAGCAGUCGAAGGUGGGGUUGAUGAUUGGGGUGAAGUCGUAACAAGGUACC